AACAAUCUAGGUUAAGUAGAGACUGUCUGUCUUCAAAACAGAGGGUAGCUUGCGCUGUUUGUUG
rnacentral:tRNA from 1 species